UAGGAAUAAGUAUAUUCGGGAAUGGGUAGGAGUAGCAUCGAUAGAAGAUAAGUUGAGAGAGAAUUGAUUGAGAUAGUUCGGUCACAUUCAACGGAGACCAAUAGAGGCAGUAGUGAAGAGAUGUGAUGUUGUAACGGUAGAUGUGAGUGUUAGGGGAUUGGGUAGGUCUAGAUUAACGUUGACUAGCGUUGUAAAUAGAGAUAUGGACCUACUUAAUUUAACUAACGAAAUGACCUUUGAUAGGGCCGCGUGGAGAAGGAUUUAUGUAGCCGACUCCAUUUGAUGAGACUUAAGGCUUGGUUUGGUUUGGUUUUACAAAGAAAACAGGAAUAAUAAGCAUAAUAUAUAGCAUGACUUGCAUUGACAAAGCAAUCAUGGAAAUGGAGAUGAAGCAGUGAAGCUGCCAUUCUAUGGUCCUCAGACAAAGCCCUUUCCACCCAAGAGUAGAUAAUGGCUUCUGCCUCUGGGCAGCUAUCCUGGUACACACCAAUCCGCAAAAGGAAACUACCCCCAUCAAUGCAUGCCUUAUUCAAAGUGUUUGGCUGCUGUGCUGAAGUAAAGGAAAGCCUGAGCAUGAGUAAAUAGAAAGCUAGGAACAAGGCCAUGUUUGUGGCCUUUGCACUGUAGGUUGCUACUAAAUUAGGUUUAGUAAAUGAAGUGAUCGGAUGAUGCCAUUAUAUAGUAGUUGUUUGGAGAGAGAGAGAGAGGGGGAGAGAGAGUAGUUGUAUAGAAGGGUAGUGGAAGUAGUAGAAGACAUAGUCAAGCCUAAGAAGAGGUCAGUUGAGAAUGACAUGCAGGCUCUACUCUGUUCACCUAAUGCCAUGUGCUUUUUUGAGUUUUACCAGACACCUUGGACCCAGCACUUCUAUGCCCUAGUAAAGAUUGAAUUCCCUUAAAAGAGGCUUGUUUUUCAGGUUUGCACUGCUAAGAUGAACUUGAGUGAUGAAGUUGACUUAGAGGACUGUGGCUUGAACUUGAUAAAAUAAGUGCUUCUGAGAUAGCAGCUAUAUGUCAAGAAGCAGG